CAACCCUCAGGCCCCCAGUGCCUGGCGUUGGGGAUCGGCCGCUGGCGUCCUUCGGGGCGCCUGGCCGGCCCCGAAAUCUAGUGGCGGUCUCGCUGUAGUCCUCCUCUGCGUAGUAGCACAACCUCGCAGUUGGAACGCGGCGGUGGCCAUGCCGUUAAACACCCCACUUCUGAA
rnacentral:misc_RNA from 1 species